UGGAAGCUUCUUCUUUACUUUUCAAAUCACAAUAAUUGAUUCUUUGUAUUAUGUUGUAGGAGGAGUUUGUGGUGGUUAGCUUCAAAAUGUAUAGAAAUUGGUUGCAAAGACUUUAAGCUAUAAAACAAUGUUACGAACAGAUUAAUCUUAUUCAAUGCAUAAUGAUGCAGAUACAAAAGAUAUGAAAGCUCCAAGCACAUAAAACAAGGCCUUUGCGGUGCACUUUCGGUCAUCGACGAUCUUGGUUCCGGUUCCCCUCAACUGAAACUUCAUUGUGCUUCUAAAGAUGAUGAUUUUGGCAUCCAUUUUCUAUCCAAUACCCAAGACUUUAGGUGGUCGUUUUGCGAGCAUGAAUUCAGUCGUACUAUGUAUUUUUGUCAUUUCUGGUGGGGUUCAAAAGAGAAUAGUUUUGAAGUGUUUAACGACGAAUUUAGGUGUGUCCAUAAGGCAGACAUUCCAAGUGCUCAUAAAUCCGAAUGUGUAUGGGUGGUGAGACCGGACGGUUUUUAUUUGGGAUACCAUCAGAAAAAUGGAAAUCUUUGGACGUUCAAGCAUCAUGAUUGGUGAUAAUUAUGAAGCUGAAGUUUUAAUUUAUGUUCUUGUUUCUUAUGUUUGAUCUCUUGGCUAAAACGUUUUGAGUUUUUAGAAUAAGUUUGGAUUUUUGUCGAGAAAAAAGAGAGAAGAAAUACAACAAUUCAUGGAAUAUUCACUUUUUCAAAUAUUUAAUUAUCACCCUUAAGUAAA